GACGAACGCUGGCGGCGUGCUUAACACAUGCAAGUCGAACGGACAGGCCCUGCUUUUGUGGGGUGCUCGAGUGGCGAACGGGUGAGUAACACGUGAGUAACCUGCCCUUGACUUUGGGAUAACUUCAGGAAACUGGGGCUAAUACCGGAUAGGAGCUCCUGCUGCAUGGUGGGGGUUGGAAAGUUUCGGCGGUUGGGGAUGGACUCGCGGCUUAUCAGCUUGUUGGUGGGGUAGUGGCUUACCAAGGCUGUGACGGGUAGCCGGCCUGAGAGGGGGACCGGCCACAUUGGGACUGAGAGACGGCCCAGACUCCUACGGGAGGCAGCAGGGGGGAAUAUUGCACAAUGGGCGGAAGCCUGAUGCAGCAACGCCGCGUGCGGGAUGACGGCCUUCGGGUUGUAAACCGCUUUCGCCUGUGACGAAGCGUGAGUGACGGUAAUGGGUAAAGAAGCACCGGCUAACUACGUG
rnacentral:rRNA from 1 species